GCCUCCGAGCCGGCCCUGGUGGCCGCUGGUGAGGCCGGCCGCCGCGUCCACUAUUCGCAACAGCACCUGGGCACUGGCGGCGACGCGGCGGCCAGUCCGACGCAAGUGCCAUCUGUUGACGCGAGUGGCAAGCUCAGCUCCUCGGAACCGACGAUUGGACAAGCAUUACACGGCUUGUUGUCCGCCGAAAAGAGAAAGAAUCUCAACCUGACGGCCGACAUGAUUCUUUUGAAGCAAAGCAGCCUGGAAUCCGAAAUACAGAUGAAAGGCCAAUGGGAAGAGCACAUUCGAAGCCUGAUGGCCGAAAACUCCUCCCUGAGGCUUGAGGUGGAGCGGCUGCGGUCUCGGGUGCCGC